CAACAGUUCUCUAUGUUCAGCAUUUGGUAAAGGUGAAGUCUCCUCUGGGUCAGCCUCAACAUUGAACAUUAGAGGAGGUUCACAAAACUAACAAGGUUAUUGACAGUGACCCUCACUGCUACAUGCCUAAGGUUAACAAAGCUAUCCACACAACACUUCAUCCACAAGAAGGACAACAUAAUAGAAAAGCUCCAGGGAGGUAAACCAAUUACAUGGAAUCAAAAAGCACAACAUGCAGACAACCAAAAUGCACACCCAUGAGGAAAGGGCAUACAAACGUACCUUUGGAAGUCAUUAAGAGGACAUGUAGAA